AGAUGCUGGGCAGCUCAGAGCUCAGGCACAUGGACAUGGGGUCCCAGGCUCACCUCCUCUUUUUCCUGUUGCUCUGGAUCCCAGAUGCCCGAGGGGCCAUUGAGCUGACCCAGUCUCCAGCCUCCCUGUCUGUGUCUCCAGGAGAGAAAGUGACCAUGUCCUGCACAGCCAGUCAGGGCAUUAGCAAUUACCUACACUGGUACCAACAGAAACCAGGCCAGGCUCCUAGGCUCCUCAUUAGAUACGCUUCCACCCUGCAUGGUGGGGUCCCCUCGAGGUUCAGUGGCAGUGGCUCUGGGACAGAUUUCUCCCUCACAAUCAGCAGUGUGGAGGCUGAGGAUGCUGCAGUCUACUACUGUCAGUAUGACUAUAAUUAUGCCCCACAGUGCUACAGCUCUGAACAAAAACCUGCCCAGGCAGCAGCUGAGGGAGGCAUCACUGCCCAGGGGCUUCUCCUUCCCCAGCAGCUGGGUCUGGGGCAGCUUGGCUGGGCUCCCUCAGGGGGAGAUUUCUAG